AACCAUAGAAACCUGCGGAGUACCUGCGGAGGGAUCAUUAUAGUAUAUGGAAUCUCCAUUCUAUAAACCCACUCUGCGUAUCUUGUAACUGUUGCUUCCAUGGGACUUGGUUCCGCCACACCGGCUUCACGGCUGGCGAGCGCCCAUGGAAGGAGAAACAAAACUCUUCUUUGAAAUGUAGUCAGUCUGAACAAGUUUUUAUAAACGUUAAAACUUUCAGCAAUGGAUCUCAGAUCGGAA
rnacentral:misc_RNA from 1 species